CUCCUUUUUCUACAACAACAACAACAACAACAACAACAACUACUACUACUACUACACAGUUGAAAUUUUGUUCGUGAUUUAUUAAAGGAAAGGAUUUCUCCGAUUGGGUGCAGUUAGCAGACUUCCAGUGUCCAGCUACAAACUGUCCUUCCAAAGAACCAAAGACUUGGAAAUGUGCAAAGGAUGGAAACUACAUAUACCUGAACGGACUGGGUAAAAUGAAAUGCUACACGAACGCACAUAAUGGUGACAUCAUUACUUGGACAUGGAACUGUGGUGAUGACUUUCAUAAAGGUCAGUAUCUGGCUGCGGACAUGGAGGGCUUCACAUUCGCACUUUCACAGGCUGUACAACUCAUGGGAAAAAUGGGGAGCCUUUGGGUCGCCAACUUGAUAACGGAAUUGGGCAAGCAAUAUGGCAAGUAACAGGUACACAUUAUCUACUGCAUGCACUGUGGUCAAUCGAACUUGUUACAUAAUGUUCUCAUUUUUAAUUGGACAUUUAGAGUUUGAUGCCUGAAUUGCUGUAAUAUACUUUGUGUUGCAUAAUGUUUGUUAGUAAAUCAUUAUUCUAUUUGUGUUUGCGUCAAAUGUACUUUAUUCAGCAAAUAAGUUUUUAAUCGAAAUUAAACUACAUUUUGGAUUUACAUUCACAUAAAAAAUACUAGCUUAUAAUUAAGAUUGCCUGCUAUAUCUUCAACAUCAUUUGAAUUAUCGGACCAUAAGUGAAUUCAUAUUAUUUGAUCGUUACGUCAAAGUCACACCAAAGUCAAGCUGAAAAGAUAGGACUUGUACACUCUUGCUUUUAUAUGUAUUGACAUGUUUUUGCAAUAACAUGGCAUACUUUUAAGCAUACCGACUUUGAAAUGAAAUUGUAAUAAACUACAUUACCGAUUAUUAAAGCUUUACAUGUGUGCCAAAGCAUCGUAUUGAUACAUCAUUCACAUUCAGUACCUCACUUAAUGUGCUGAGUUUAAGGAUUUUAUUACUCGUUUGUCCUAGUCUGUAUUAUACCUGUCUGUUUUAUGUUUGUUUUGUUUCUAAUGUAUAACAACAUGUUUUUGUUAUUGUAUGUAAUAUUUGCUUGACCAAUGUAUGCCCGAGGAUGAUCUGUCUCAUAUCUAAUUAAAGAAAAAAAAUCUCGUCUCUCACAUCGAACAUACGAUUAUGUUGCUAUUAAUAUGUACUAUACUACUGAACAUGUUGUUGAUUUCACCAACAAUAUUUACCGCAUACAUUAAUGUGUUUCUGUUUGUCGUUUGUUAACUUAUAUGUAUGUUGGGUAAUAAUAUAACUGAUACCAAU